UGCCAGCCGCCGCGGUAACACGGGGGGCGCAAGCGUUAUUCGGAAUUAUUGGGCGUAAAGGGCGCGCAGGCGGUCUUGUCCGUCAGGUGUGAAAGCUCGGGGCUCAACCCCGGAAGUGCACUUGAAACAGCAAGACUUGAAUACGGGAGAGGAGAGAGGAAUUCCUGGUAUAGAGGUGAAAUUCGUAGAUAUCAGGAGGAACACCGAUGGCGAAGGCGGCAGCCUGGGUGAUGAUUGACGCUGAGGUGCGAAAGCGUGGGGAGCAAACAGGAUUAGAUA
rnacentral:rRNA from 1 species